AGUGAACGCUGGCGGUAGGCCUAACACAUGCAAGUCGAACGGCAGCACAGUAAGAGCUUGCUCUUACGGGUGGCGAGUGGCGGACGGGUGAGGAAUACAUCGGAAUCUACUUUUUCGUGGGGGAUAACGUAGGGAAACUUACGCUAAUACCGCAUACGACCUACGGGUGAAAGCAGGGGAUCUUCGGACCUUGCGCGAUUGAAUGAGCCGAUGUCGGAUUAGCUAGUUGGCGGGGUAAAGGCCCACCAAGGCGACGAUCCGUAGCUGGUCUGAGAGCAUGAUCAGCCACACUGGAACUGAGACACGGUCCAGACUCCUACGGGAGGCAGCAGUGGGGAAUAUUGGACAAUGGGCGCAAGCCUGAUCCAGCCAUACCGCGUGGGUGAAGAAGGCCUUCGGGCUGUAAAGCCCUUUUGUUGGGAAAGAAAAGCAGCAGGUUAAUACCCCGCUGUUCUGACGGUACCCAAAGAAUAAGCACCGGCUAACUUCGUG
rnacentral:rRNA from 1 species